GGUAGCGACAGAUAGAUACCUGUAGUCCGCGCGUAAACGAUGAUCACUCGCUGUACGCAUAUAGAUGCGUGUGCCAAGCGAAAGCGAUAAGUGAUCCACUGGGGAGUACGCGCACGCUGAACUCAAAGGAAUUGACGGGGCCCGCACAAGCGGAGGACAUGUGUUAAUUCGAUGAUACGCGAGGAACCUUACCCGGGCUCAACGCACGUUGAAGUUCCAGAAAUGGGAUGGCCAAGCAAUUGGAGAUGUGCGAGGUGCUGCAUGGUUGUCGUCAGCUCGUGCCGUGAGGUGUUGGCUUAAGUGCCAUAACGAGCGCAACCCCUGUCCGUAGUUGCCAUCGGGUAAAGCCGGGGACUCUGCGGAGACUGCCGCCGCAAGGUGCGAGGAAGGCGGGGAUGACGUCAAAUCAGCACGGCCCUUACGUCCGGGGCGACACACGUGUUACAAUGGCCGGUACAGCGGGCAGCCACCCUGCGAAGGGGCGCGAAUCCCGAAAGCCGGUCUUAGUUCGGACUGGAGUCUGGAACCCGACUCCACGAAGCCGGAUUCGCUAGUAAUCGCGCAUCAGCCAUGGCGCGGUGAAUACGUUCCCGGGCCUUGUACACACCGCCCGUCAAGCCAUGGAAGCCGGAAGUACCUGAAGUCCGUAACCGCGAGGAGCGGCCUAGGGUAAGGCUGGUGACUGGGGCU
rnacentral:rRNA from 1 species